AUUGAACGCUGGCGGCAUGCUUUACACAUGCAAGUCGAACGGUAACAGGCCUUCGGGUGCUGACGAGUGGCGAACGGGUGAGUAAUGCAUCGGAACGUACCCAGAGGUGGGGGAUAACGCAGCGAAAGCUGUGCUAAUACCGCAUGUGAUCUGACGAUGAAAGCGGGGGACCGAGCAGCAAUGUUUGGCCUCGCGCCUUUGGAGCGGCCGAUGUCUGAUUAGCUAGUUGGUGGGGUAAAGGCCUACCAAGGCGACGAUCCGUAGCUGGUCUGAGAGGACGACCAGCCACACUGGGACUGAGACACGGCCCAGACUCCUACGGGAGGCAGCAGUGGGGAAUUUUGGACAAUGGGCGCAAGCCUGAUCCAGCAAUGCCGCGUGCGGGAAGAAGGCCUUCGGGUUGUAAACCGCUUUUGGCAGGAACGAAACGGUGUCCGCUAAUACCGGGCGCUAAUGACGGUACCUGCAGAAUAAGCACCGGCUAACUACGUG
rnacentral:rRNA from 1 species